rnacentral:rRNA from 3 species
AACUUUUAACAACGGAUCUCUUGGUUCUCGCAUCGAUGAAGAACGUAGCAAAGUGCGAUAACUAGUGUGAAUUGCAUAUUCAGUGAAUCAUCGAGUCUUUGAACGCAACUUGCGCUCAAUGGUAUUCCAUUGAGCACGCCUGUUUCAGUA